AGUUCGGAUCCUGCUCAGAUUGAACGCUGGCGGGAUGCUUUACAUGCAAGUCGAACGGCACGGACUUGUCCAGUAAGGAGUAUGUGAACGGGUGAGUAAUGUAUCGGAACGUGCCUAGUAGCGGGGGAUAACUACGCGAAAGCGUAGCUAAUACCGCAAUACCCUUCUGGGGAAAGCGGGGACUCCUUGGGCCCUCGCACUAUUAGGAGCGGUCGAUAUCGAUUAGCUAGUUGGUGGGGUAACGGUCACUCAAGGCGACGAUCCGUAGCUGGUUUGAGAGGACGACCAGCCACACUGGGACUGAGAUGGCGCCCAGACUCCUACGGGAGGCAGCAGUGGGGAAUUUUGACAAUGGGGGAAACCCCAGAUCCAGCCAUCCCGCGUGUGCGAUGAAGGCUUUCUGCCAGGAAGCACUUUUGGCAGGAAAAGAAACGGCACGGGAUAAUACCCCGUGCAACUGACGGUACCUGCAGAAUAAGCACCGGCUAACUACAUGCGCCAGCAGCCGCGGUAAUACGUAGGUGCAAGCGUUAAUCGGAAUUACCGGGCGCAAAGCGUGCGCAGGCGGUUCGGAAAGAAAGAUGUGAAAUCCCAGAGCUUAACUUUGGAACUGCAUUUUUAACUACCGAGCUAGAGUGUGUCAGAGGGAGGUGGAAUUCAUGUGUAGCAGUGAAAUGCGUGGAUAUGCGGAGGAACAAUUGAUGGCAGCGCAGCCUCCUGAUAACACUGACGCUCAAGUGCACGAAAGCGUGGGGAGCAAACAGGAUUAGAUACCCCAGUAGUCCGGCCGCCCUAAACGAUGUCAACUAGCUGGGUUGGGCCUUCGGGCCUUGGUAGCGCAGCUAACGCGGUGAAGUUGACCGCCUGGGAGCAUGGUCGCAAGAUUAAAACUCAAAGGAAUUGACGGGACCCGCACAAGCGGUGGAUGAUGGGAUUAAUUCGAUGCAACGCGAAAACCUUACCUACCCUUGACAUGUCUGGAAUCCCGAAGAGAUUUGGGGGAGUGCUCGCAAGAGAACCGGAACACAGGUGCUGCAUGGCUGUCGUCAGCUCGUGUCGAGAUGUUGGGUUAAGUCCCGCAACGAGCAACCUCUUUGUCAUUAGUUACAUGAAAGGGCACUCUAAUGAGACUGCCGGUGACAAACCGGAGGAAGGUGGGGAUGACGUCAAGUCCUCAUGGCCCUUAUGGGUAGGCUUCACACGUCAUACAAUGGUCGGGACAGAGGGUCGCCAACCCGCGAGGGGGAGCCAAUCCCAGAAACCCGAUCGUAGUCCGAUCGCAGUCUGCAACUCGACUGCGUGAAGUCGGAAUCGCUAGUAAUCGCGGAUCAGCAUGUCGCGGUGAAUACGUUCCCGGGUCUUGUACACACCGCCCGUCACACCAUGGCGAGAGACAUGGCGCACACAAUACAGGUCAUUGGGGGAGAAGGGAGUGGGUUUUACCAGAAGUAGUUAGCCUAACCGUAAGUGGCGAUUACUACGGUAGGAUUCAUGACUGGGGUGAAGUCGUAACAAGGUAA
rnacentral:rRNA from 1 species